rnacentral:rRNA from 1 species
GUUGAACGCUGGCGGCAGGCUUAACACAUGCAAGUCGAGCGGAGAUGAGGUGCUUGCACCUUAUCUUAGCGGCGGACGGGUGAGUAAUGCUUAGGAAUCUGCCUAUUAGUGGGGGACAACAUUCCGAAAGGAAUGCUAAUACCGCAUACGUCCUACGGGAGAAAGCAGGGGAUCUUCGGACCUUGCGCUAAUAGAUGAGCCUAAGUCGGAUUAGCUAGUGGGGGGGGUAAAGGCCUACCAAGGCGACGAUCUGUAGCGGGUCUGAGAGGAUGAUCCGCCACACUGGGACUGAGACACGGCCCAGACUCCUACGGGAGGCAGCAGUGGGGAAUAUUGGACAAUGGGGGGAACCCUGAUCCAGCCAUGCCGCGUGUGUGAAGAAGGCCUUAUGGUUGUAAAGCACUUUAAGCGAGGAGGAGGCUCUUUUGGUUAAUACCCAAGAUGAGUGGACGUUACUCGCAGAAUAAGCACCGGCUAACUCUGUGCCAGCAGCCGCCGUAA